rnacentral:rRNA from 1 species
GAUGAACGCUAGCGGGAGGCUUAACACAUGCAAGUCGUGGGGCAGCAUAAUGUAGCAAUACGUUGAUGGCGACCGGCGCACGGGUGAGUAACGCGUAUGUAACCUACCCUGUACAGGGGGAUAGCCCGGAGAAAUUCGGAUUAAUACCCCAUAAAGAUAUAGAAUGGCAUCAUUUUAUAUUUAAAGUUUCGGCGGUACGGGAUGGGCAUGCGUAACAUUAGCUAGUUGGUAGGGUAACGGCCUACCAAGGCUACGAUGUUUAGGGGUCCUGAGAGGGUGAUCCCCCACACUGGUACUGAGACACGGACCAGACUCCUACGGGGCUG